GCUUGCAGCCAUACCUCCACGAGACAGCCUGAUCUCAUUCGAUCUCAGCAGCUAAACAAGGCUGGGUCUGCUUAAUAAUUGGAAGGGGGAGCUCCUCAGAAUACCAGGUGCUGCAAGCU
rnacentral:rRNA from 1 species